rnacentral:rRNA from 1 species
AAAUUGAAGAGUUUGAUCAUGGCUCAGAUUGAACGCUGGCGGCAGGCCUAACACAUGCAAGUCGAGCGGUAGCACAGAGAGCUUGCUCUCGGGUGACGAGCGGCGGACGGGUGAGUAAUGUCUGGGAAACUGCCUGAUGGAGGGGGAUAACUACUGGAAACGGUAGCUAAUACCGCAUAAUGUCGCAAGACCAAAGUGGGGGACCUUCGGGCCUCAUGCCAUCAGAUGUGCCCAGAUGGGAUUAGCUAGUAGGUGGGGUAACGGCUCACCUAGGCGACGAUCCCUAGCUGGUCUGAGAGGAUGACCAGCCACACUGGAACUGAGACACGGUCCAGACUCCUACGGGAGGCAGCAGUGGGGAAUAUUGCACAAUGGGCGCAAGCCUGAUGCAGCCAUGCCGCGUGU